UACAGAGGGUGCGAGCGUUGUCCGGAAUCACUGGGCGUAAAGGGCGCGCAGGUGGCGGCCCAAGUCCAUGGUGAAAGCUCGAUGCUCAACAUCGAGUCGGCCACGGAUACUGGGUUGCUGGAGCACUGUAGAGGCAGAUGGAAUUCCGGGUGUAGCGGUGGAAUGCGUAGAGAUCCGGAAGAACACCGGUGGCGAAGGCGGUCUGCUGGGCAGUUUCUGACACUGAGGCGCGACAGCGUGGGGAGCAAACAGG
rnacentral:rRNA from 1 species